GAUUUGGGAGCCCCUACUCAGGGAAAGCAGCCUCAGCUGCAAAGGGAGGGCCCUAUGGACCAUCCACCUUCUUUGGCAGACAAAUACAAGUAAGAGGAAGAGAGGAAAGUUGCAGACGUUCUCUAGGGGACACAAUUUUCAUAUGAUCAACACAACGCGUCUUACCCACAGGAGCAGAGGCUGCCUGAGGACCCUGACUCACUAAUGCAGUGUUCAUCCCUGAACUUCUGAAUGGCUGCUAAUCUGGCACUAAAUCACCACCAUGGUGGAAAGAGGCCCUGGUCCAUGUGGAAGAAGCAUCUUUGUGCUGGUAGCUGU